AAGUUUAAGUUUUUAUUGUUUAGGGAUUUUUAAAAGUAUUUAUAGGUUUUAGUAAGAUUUAGAAAGGAUAAAAUUUAUUAUAGAUUAAUAGUACAGUGAUGGGAUAUUUUGAAAUUAUAUAAAGAAUUCUUUAUUUGGAGUACCUUGUGUAUCAGGGUUUAUUAAAAAGGUUCUUAGGAUGUAAGUUUUCUCGAAUUUAUAAGAGCUAAUAAUAUAUAAAUUUUAAUGUAGAAUAAUUAUUUAUAAUAUAUUAUUGGAAUUAGACGUUAGUCGGAUUUAAAUAUAUCUAGUUUUUUAAGAAAUUAAUUUAAUUAAGCUGAUUUUUAGAAUCAUUUGUGUGUAUAAUUGGUUCAGGAAUUGAGUAAUAUUUAAGGGGAUAAGCUUUUAAAUAAAUUUCUAUAAAUUUUAGGUCUUUGAAAAUUGAAUAGGAAUAGAAGUUUUCAUUUUUUGUUGUGUUUUAUAUCAAGAUUUUUAUUUAAGUGAUUUUAUAGUUUUUAGGUUUUUUAUUAGAAUGUUGAAUGUAACGGGAAUAUUCAGGUAAUAAUGAUAAAAUGAGUAUAUAAAUAUGUUUAUUUGAUUAAUAAGUGAAAGGUUUAAUUAAGUAAUUCGGCAAAUUUAUUUUCUGCCUGUUUAUUAAAAACAUGGCUUUUUGGGAAUAAUUUAAAGUCUGGCCUGCCCAAUGAUUAUAAUUUAAUGGCCGCGGUACUCUGACCGUGCAAAGGUAGCAUAAUCAUUAGUUUUUUAAUUGAAAGCUGGUAUGAACGGUCUUACAAGAAAAUAGCUGUCUCAAUUAAAUGGUUCUAGAAUUUUAUUUUUUAGUGAGAAGGCUAAAAUGUUUUUAAGGGACGAGAAGACCCUAUAGAAUUUUAUAACUUUUUUUAGAUUGUGUUUUUGGUUUAGUUGACGUAAUUUAGAAGAAUUUAUUUUGUUGGGGUGAUGGAAAAAUUUAGUUAACUUUUUUUGAUUAAUUUCACUAAUAUGUGUAUGUAUGAUCCGUUUAGAACGAUUACAAGAUUAAAUUACCUUAGGGAUAACAGCGUUAUUAGUUUGGAGAGUUCAUAUCGAUAAACUAGUUUGCGACCUCGAUGUUGGAUUAAAAUUAACUUUAGGUGUAGGGGCUUGAAAAGUUAAGUCUGUUCGACUUUUAAAAUUUUACAUGAUCUGAGUUUAAACCGGCGUGAGCCAGGUUGGUUUCUAUCUUUAUAUAAUUAUAAUAUUUUAGUACGAAAGGACCAAAUAUUAAUUUAAUAAGUUUAUUGAUGAAUAUUAUUA
rnacentral:rRNA from 1 species